rnacentral:lncRNA from 1 species
AACCUGCUCCGAUCCCCUUCAACACUGUGGAAGCUUUGUUUUUUUGCUCUUUGCAAUAAAUCUUGCUACUCCUCACUCUUUGUAUCCAUGCUGCUUUUAUGAGCUGUAACACUCACCGUGAAGAUCUGCGGCUUCACUCCUGAGUCCAGCAAGACCCCGAGCCCACCAGGAGGAAUGAACAACUCCAGACGUACUACCUUAAGAGCUGUAACACUCACCAUGAAGGUCUGCAGCUUCACUGCUGAGCCAGUGAGACCAAGAACCCACCAGAAGGAAGAAACUCCGAACACAUGUGAACAUCAGAAGGGACAGACUCCAGACGCGCCACCUUAAGAGCUGUAACACUCACGGUGAAGGUCUGCAGCUUCCCUCCUGAGCCAGCGAGACCGCGAACCCACCAGAAGGAAGAAACUCUGAACACAUCUGAACAUCAGAAGGGACAGACUCCAGAUGUGCCACCUUAAGAGGUGUAACACUCCCCGCGAGGGUCCGUAGCUUCAUUCUUGAAGUCAGUGAGACCAAAAACCCACCAAUUCUGGUCACAAAAUGAUCUUCCCACCUCAACCUCCCAAGUAGCUGUGACCACAGGUGUGCGCCACUGAGGUGACAGCGUGCUGGCAGUCCUCACAGCCUUCGUUCACUCUCCGCGCCUCCUCUGCCUGGGAUCCCACUUUGGCGGCACUUGAGGAUCCCUUAACCCGCCACUGCACUGUGGGAUUCCGUUUCUGGGCUGGCCAAGGCUGGAGCCGGCUCCCUCAGCUUGCAAGGAGGUGUGGAGGGAGAGGUGCCAGCAGGACGUGGGGCUGCACGCAGCACUUGCGGGCCAGCUGGAGUUCCCCGUGGGCGUGGGCUGGGCAGGCCCCGCGCUCGGAGCAGCUGGCCGGCCCUGCCGGCCCCGGGCAAUGAGGGACUUAGGACCCGGGCCAGUGGCUGUGGAGGGUGUACUGGGUCCCCCAGCAGUGCCAGCCCACUGGCGCUGCCCUCGAUUUCUCACUGAGCCUUAGCUGCCUUCCCGCGAGGCAGGGCUCGGGACCUGCAGCCCGCCAUGCCUGAGCCUCCCACCCACUCCUUGAGUUCCUGUGCCGCCCGAUCCUCCCCAAUGAGCACCACCCCCUGCUCCGCAGCGCCCAGUCCCAUCGACCACCCAAGGGCUGAGGAAUGCGAGCGCACCGCGCAGGACUGGCAGGCAGCUCCACUUGCAGCCCUGGUGCGGGAUCCACUAGGUGAAGCCAGCUGGGCUCCUGAGUCUGGUGGGGAUGUGGAGAGUAUAUCUAGCUCAGGGAUUGUAAACACACCAAUCAGCACCCUGUGCCUAGCUCAAGGUUUGUGAGUGCACCAAUGGACACUCUGUAUCUAGCUGCUCUGGUGGGGCCUUGGAGAACCUUUAUGUCUAGCUCAGGGAUUGUAAAUACACCAAUCAGCACCCUGUGUUUAGCUCAAGGUUUGUGAGUGCACCAAUCGACACUCUGUAGCUAGCUGCUCUGUUGGGGACGUGGAGAACCUUUAUGUCUAGCUCAGGGAUUGUAAAUACACCAGUCGGCACUCUGUAUCUAGCUCAAGGUUUGUAAACACACCAAUCAGCACCCUGUGUUUAGCUCAAGGUUUGUGAAUGCACCAAUUGACACUCUGUAUCUAGCUGCUCUGGUGGGUCCGUGGAGAACCUGUGUGUGGAAACUCUGUAUCUAACUAAUCUGAUGGGGAUGUGGAGAACCUUUGUAUCUAGCUCAGGAAUUGUAAAUGCACCAAUCAGCGCCGUGACAAAACAGGCCACUCGGCUCUACCAAUCAGCAGGAUGUGGGUGGGGCCAGAUAAGAGAAUAAAAGCAGGCUGCCUGAGCUAGCAGUGGCAACCCCCUCCAGUCCCCUUCCACACUGUGGAAGCUUUGUUCUUUCGCUGUUUGCAAUAAAUCUUGCUACUGCUCAGUCUUUGGGUCCAUGCUGCUUUUAUGAGCUGUAACACUCGCUGCGAAGAUCUGCAGCUUCACUCCUGAGCCCAGCAAGACCAUGAGCCCACCAGGAGGAAUGAAGAACUCCAGACGCGCUACCUUAAGAGCUGUAACACUCACUGCGAAGGUCUGCAGCUUCACUCCUGAGCCAGCGAGACCAGGAACCCACCAAUAGGAAGAAACUCCGAACACAUCUGAACAUCAGAAGGGACAGACUCCAGACGCACCACCUUAAGAGCUGUAACACUCACCGCUAGGGUCCGCGGCUUCAUUCUUGAAGUCAGUGAGACCAAGAACCCACCAAUUCUGGACACAAUAGCUCAUUCAAAAUGGGGAGGUGAAUUAAAUGUCUGCCAGAUGUUAAGGAAAGACAUGCUUAUGCCUAGAAUCUCAGGAAAAUAAGGGGAACACAGUUCGUCCUUAUGUCAAUGCUCCUCAGAAUUACUGCCAAGGCCAACGAAAAACCCUAGGUUCUCUGAAAUGUGUGUACCAACCACUUUCAUGGAGUUUGUUGGGCUUUUGGUUUUGUUUUGGUAGAUUUGGUUGAAACCUUCUUUUUUUCACCCUAUAGCCUCCUCAUUAGAGAAAAUAGCCCUCCAUCCACAUUCCUUUACCCCAUCUCAGGCUUUCUUAGUUUGAGCAAAAGAGGAUUUAGAAAACUUAAAAGCUAUUGCUAAAUAUCAAUAUAGUAAUAUCAACUCUUAAGAGCAAUUUGACAGUGAAAAUGCAGCUACCUCCAGUGUGUAUACAUAUUUAAGGGCUUUGUAUGAGACACAGAUGCAGAAAUCUACCUGAUUUUUUUUUUAUAUAACAGCUUUAUUGAGCUAUAAUUCACAUAUAAAAUUCACUCCUUUAAAGUGCAUAAUUUAUUUAUUUUUUGUAUAUUCACAGUGUUGGCCAACCACCACCAUCACUAUCCAAUUUCAGAAUGUUUUCAUCACCCCAAAAGAAAAGCCUGUACCUAUUAGCUGUCACUCUUCAUUUCUUCCUCUCCUGGACCCGGGCAACCACUAAUCUGCUUUCCAUCUCUAUGAAUUUGCCUAUUCUGGAAAAUAUGUAGUCUUUUUUAUCUGAAUGUCAUGCUCCAGUAAUGAGCUCUCUAUGUUGUCCUCUGAGCAGUUUUGCCUACAUCAUCUUCUAGGCAACAAGCACAAGAGAAGAGGCCACCAGGACAGGGGAGUUAGGAAUGUACCCAGAAUAAUGAGCACUUGAAAAGUUGGUAUCACAAAGGUUAUCACUUUGUCACCCAGUCUAGGCUUCAGUGACCAGGCAGAUCUGAGAUGAUGCAAUCAUGGGACAGACCUCAGGGUUAGUGCAGUGCGGAGUAGCUGAGGCCUUCGAAUCUAUCUCCACAGCCUGUCAGGGUGCAGCCCCAGGUCUAUUCCUUGCUCAAUUCAGACUACGGGGCAAACAGAGCUGCUCAGAACCUUCGUUAGCAGGAAGUAUAACGGAAUACAGCUGGAAGAUAUGCUUGAUGGUAAAAGCAUCACGUUUCUUGUCCUGGUCACCAUGGCAAUCUAGACAGUCCCUA